GAAAUGAUUCUGAGAAGAAAAAUGAGAAAAAUAUGACAGGGAGUCGAGGCACAGGUGCUAUAGAGACUUAGCAAAUGGCAAAAAGGUUUAAGCUUUUAAACACGCCCCUUUUGUCUAAAAUAAAUAAUAAAUAAAUAAAGAAUCUAGAGCAAAGGCACUUGUAAGAAAUUAAUAAGUUUGAUGCUGCUCAUGAAAAAAUGUUGAAGAACAUGGUUGCUACCAUAAUUCUCCUCUCAGAAACGUGCUAAUGACUUUACCAUAACUGCACAAUGGCCUUUACAAACAUAUGCUUCUAUGCAUGUUGAGUGAGUGCCCAAAUCCCAAAUAAUUCAAAUCAUAUAGAAGAAAACAGCUCAUUACCUUUCCAUGUGCGGAAGGAUUUCU
rnacentral:misc_RNA from 1 species